rnacentral:rRNA from 1 species
UACAGAGGUCCCAAGCGUUGUUCGGAUUCACUGGGACGUAAAGGGUGCGUAGGCGGUCGGGUAAGUCUGAUGUGAAAUCGUCACAGCUUAACUGUGAAACUGCAUUGGAUACUAUUCGGCUUGAGAGUUGGAGGGGGGACUGGAAUUCUUGGUGUAGCGGUGAAAUGCGCAGAUAUCAGGAGGAACACCGGUGGCGAAGGCGGGUCUCUGGGCCGAUACUGACGUGAGGAGCGAAAGCGUGGGGAGCAACAGG